UACGGAGGAUGCGAGCGUUAUCCGGAUUUAUUGGGUUUAAAGGGUGCGUAGGCGGUCCGGAAAGUCAGCGGUAAAAGCCCGGGGCUCAACCCCGGCGAGCCGUUGAAACUGUCGGACUAGAGACGGCGAGAAGUACGCGGAAUGCGCGGUGUAGCGGUGAAAUGCGUAGAGAUUAGGAAGAACACCAGUGGCGAAGGCGAUUCUCUGGACUGUAACUGACGCUGAGGCUCGAAAGCGUGGGGAGCAAACAGG
rnacentral:rRNA from 1 species